rnacentral:rRNA from 1 species
GACGAACGCUGGCGGCGUGCCUAAUACAUGCAAGUCGAACGAGAGCGACCGGUGCUUGCACUGGUCAAUCUAGUGGCGAACGGGUGAGUAACACGUGGGUAACCUGCCCAUCAGAGGGGGAUAACAUCCGGAAACGGAUGCUAAAACCGCAUAGGUCUUCGAGCCGCAUGGCUUGAAGAGGAAAAGAGGCGCAAGCUUCUGCUGAUGGAUGGACCCGCGGUGCAUUAGCUAGUUGGUGAGGUAACGGCUCACCAAGGCCGUGAUGCAUAGCCGACCUGAGAGGGUGAUCGGCCACAUUGGGACUGAGACACGGCCCAAACUCCUACGGGAGGCAGCAGUAGGGAAUCUUCCGCAAUGGACGCAAGUCUGACGGAGCAACGCCGCGUGAGUGAAGAAGGUUUUCGGAUCGUAAAACUCUGUUGUUAGAGAAGAACAAGUGCUAGAGUAACUGUUAGCGCCUAGA